AGAACGAACGCUGGCGGCAUGCCUAACACAUGCAAGUCGAACGCUUGCCCGGUUUCGGCCGGGCAGGAGUGGCGCACGGGUGAGUAGCGCGUGGGAACCUGCCCUGUUGUGGGGGAUAACCGAGGGAAACUUCGGCUAAUACCGCAUGCGCCCGGAGCAAUCCUGGGAAAGAUUUAUCGCAGCAGGAGGGGCCCGCGUCGGAUUAGGUAGUUGGUGGGGUAACGGCCCACCAAGCCUGUGAUCCGUAGCUGGUCUGAGAGGAUGAUCAGCCACACUGGGACUGAGACACGGCCCAGACUCCUACGGGAGGCAGCAGUGGGGAAUAUUGGACAAUGGGCGCAAGCCUGAUCCAGCAAUGCCGCGUGAGUGAUGAAGGCCUUAGGGUUGUAAAGCUCUUUCGCCCGCGACGAUGAUGACGGUAGCGGGAGAAGAAGCCCCGGCUAACUUCGCGCCAGCAGCCGCGGUAA
rnacentral:rRNA from 1 species